GACGAACGCUGGCGGCGUGCUUAACACAUGCAAGUCGAACGGUAAGGCUCCAGCUUGCUGGGGUACACGAGUGGCGUACGGGUGAGUAACACGUGGGUGACCUGCCCUGCACUUCGGGAUAAGCCUGGGAAACUGGGUCUAAUACCGGAUAGGACCGCACCGUGAGGUUGUGGUGGAAAGUUUUUUCGGUGUGGGAUGGGCCCGCGGCCUAUCAGCUUGUUGGUGGGGUAAUGGCCUACCAAGGCGGCGACGGGUAGCCGGCCUGAGAGGGUGGACGGCCACAUUGGGACUGAGACACGGCCCAGACUCCUACGGGAGGCAGCAGUGGGGAAUAUUGCACAAUGGGCGGAAGCCUGAUGCAGCGACGCCGCGUGGGGGAUGACGGCCUUCGGGUUGUAAACUCCUUUCACCAUCGACGAAGGGUUUCUGACGGUAGAUGGAGAAGAAGCACCGGCUAACUACGUG
rnacentral:rRNA from 1 species